rnacentral:miRNA from 1 species
UGAAGACCUCGUGCAUUGUAGC